rnacentral:rRNA from 1 species
GGCUUAGAAGCAGCCAUCAUUUAAAGAGUGCGUAAUAGCUCACUGGUCGAGUGACGCUGCGCCGAAAAUGUAUCGGGGCUAAACGAUUCACCGAAGCUGUGGAUUGACAUCUACGAUGUCAGUGGUAGGAGAGCGUUCUAAGUGCGUUGAAGUCAGAUCGGAAGGACUGGUGGAGCGCUUAGAAGUGAGAAUGCCGGUAUGAGUAGCGAAAGACGGGUGAGAAUCCCGUCCACCGUAUGACUAAGGUUUCCUGAGGAAGGCUCGUCCGCUCAGGGUUAGUCGGGACCUAAGCCGAGGCCGAUAGGCGUAGGCGAUGGACAACAGGUUGAUAUUCCUGUACCACCUCCUCACCGUUGGAGAAAUGGGGGGACGCAGUAGGAUAGGGUAAGCGCGCUGUUGGAUAUGCGCGUCCAAGCAGUAAGGCGUGUGUGUAGGCAAAUCCGCACACUGUAACGUUGAGCUGUGAUGGCGAGUCCGUAUGGACGAAGUUCCUGAUUUCACACUGCCAAGAAAAGCCUCUAUCGAGGUGAGAGGUGCCCGUA